CACAGAUGAUGGUUGUAUCUGAUGUGG
rnacentral:piRNA from 1 species